GGGGUUGUGGCUCAGUGGUAGAGUUCUCACCUAGCAUGUGCGAGGCACUGAGUUCAAUCCUCAGCAUCACAU
rfam:Ictidomys tridecemlineatus contig067797, whole genome shotgun sequence.